CCUAAGCAAUGACAAUUGUGUUAAUGAGGGUAAAGUUAAUAAAUAAAAGUGCUCCUCAAAUAAUAAAAACUAGGUGGCUGCCUGCGAUUUCGCGGGUAUAAAUAUUUAUGAAAAAUAUAUAUUUUGUUUAUAAUUUUGAAUAAUAAUCAUAAUUAUUAAAAAGGGCAAAUCUCCAAAAUAGCACAUUUCUAAGUUUAUAUUACAAAAAUAGCACUCAAAAACUAAAAUGACCAAAAUAGCAUUUUAUCUUUUGAAAAAUUUAAAAAAUUUUUAUUUUUCAAAAUUUGAAAUCUUAUCCCCAAAAUCCCAAUUCUCAACUCUAAACCCUAAAACCUAAACCCUAAACCCUAAAUCCUAAACCCCACCCUUUAACUCUAAACCCUAAAACCUAAACCCCACCCUUCAACUCUAAACCCUAAAACCUAAACUCUAAACCCUAAACCCCAAACUCUAAACCUUAAACCCUAAACCCUAAAUCCUAAACCCCACCCUUUAACU
rnacentral:lncRNA from 1 species